rnacentral:rRNA from 1 species
UUGCAAGUCGAACGCACAGCGAAAGGUGCUUGCACCUUUCAAGUGAGUGGCGAACGGGUGAGUAACACGUGGACAACCUGCCUCAAGGCUGGGGAUAACAUUUGGAAACAGAUGCUAAUACCGAAUAAAACUUAGUGUCGCAUGACAAAAAGUUAAAAGGCGCUUCGGCGUCACCUAGAGAUGGAUCCGCGGUGCAUUAGUUAGUUGGUGGGGUAAAGGCCUACCAAGACAAUGAUGCAUAGCCGAGUUGAGAGACUGAUCGGCCACAUUGGGACUGAGACACGGCCCAAACUCCUACGGGAGGCUGCAGUAGGGAAUCUUCCACAAUGGGCGAAAGCCUGAUGGAGCAACGCCGCGUGUGUGAUGAAGGCUUUCGGGUCGUAAAGCACUGUUGUAUGGGAAGAACAGCUAGAAUAGGAAAUGAUUUUAGUUUGACGGUACCAUACCAGAAAGGGACGGCUAAAUACGUGCCAGCAGCCGCGGUAAUACGUAUGUCCCGAGCGUUAUCCGGAUUUAUUGGGCGUAAAGCGAGCGCAGACGGUUUAUUAAGUCUGAUGUGAAAGCCCGGAGCUCAACUCCGGAAUGGCAUUGGAAACUGGUUAACUUGAGUGCAGUAGAGGUAAGUGGAACUCCAUGUGUAGCGGUGGAAUGCGUAGAUAUAUGGAAGAACACCAGUGGCGAAGGCGGCUUACUGGACUGCAACUGACGUUGAGGCUCGAAAGUGUGGGUAGCAAACAGGAUUAGAUACCCUGGUAGUCCACACCGUAAACGAUGAACACUAGGUGUUAGGAGGUUUCCGCCUCUUAGUGCCGAAGCUAACGCAUUAAGUGUUCCGCCUGGGGAGUACGACCGCAAGGUUGAAACUCAAAGGAAUUGACGGGGACCCGCACAAGCGGUGGAGCAUGUGGUUUAAUUCGAAGCAACGCGAAGAACCUUACCAGGUCUUGACAUCCUUUGAAGCUUUUAGAGAUAGAAGUGUUCUCUUCGGAGACAAAGUGACAGGUGGUGCAUGGUCGUCGUCAGCUCGUGUCGUGAGAUGUUGGGUUAAGUCCCGCAACGA